rnacentral:misc_RNA from 1 species
UCCGGCUUGUCACCGGCAGUUUCUUCAGAGUGCCCGGCUCUACCCGGUGGCAACUGAAGAUGAGGGUCGCGCUCGUUGCGGGACUUAACCCAACAUCUCACGACACGAGCUGACGACAGCCAUGCAGCACCUGUGUUACGGCUCCCUUUCGGGCACACCCAGCUCUCGCUGGGCUUCCGUACAUGUCAAGGCCAGGUAAGGUUCUUCGCGUUGCAUCGAAUUAAGCCACAUACUCCACCGCUUGUGCAGGCCCCCGUCAAUUUCUUUGAGUUUUAAUCUUGCGACCGUACUUCCCAGGCGGAAUACUUAAUGCGUUAGCUGUGGCACCGGCGGUAAACCGCCGACACUUAGUAUUCAUAGUUUAAGGCGUGGACUAC